UACGAAGGGGGCUAGCGUUGCUCGGAAUCACUGGGCGUAAAGCGCACGUAGGCGGCUUGCUAAGUCAGGGGUGAAAUCCUGGAGCUCAACUCCAGAACUGCCUUUGAUACUGGCGAUCUUGAGUCCGGGAGAGGUGAGUGGAACUGCGAGUGUAGAGGUGAAAUUCGUAGAUAUUCGGAAGAACACCAGUGGCGAAGGCGACUUACUGGACGACUGUUGACGCUGAGGUGUGAAAGCGUGGGGAGCAAACAGG
rnacentral:rRNA from 1 species